rnacentral:rRNA from 1 species
UACGUAGGGGGCGAGCGUUAUCCGGAAUUACUGGGUGUAAAGGGAGCGUAGACGGCGAGGUAAGCCUGAAGUGGAAGCCCGCGGCCCAACUGCGGAACUGCUUUGGGAACUGUUUUGCUGGAGUAUGGGAGGGGUGAGCGGAAUUCCUGGUGUAGCGGUGAAAUGCGUAGAUAUCAGGAGGAACACCGGUGGCGAAGGCGGCUUACUGGACCAUAACUGACGUUGAGGCUCGAAAGCGUGGGGAGCGAACAGG